CGAAUAUUGUGCAAACGUAACCGUUACAGCAACGAAGAUUUUGCAGUCAGAUCACGCACCGCAUCGUGCGUUAACAAACGUCGCAUUAGUUUGAAUAAGCAUGCGUAUUGCACACAAGUACUGAUGGAGUCCGAAUACACUUGUAUACAUGAUUUCUUUGAGGUGGGAGACAACUCCAUCCUUGACAGCAGUCUGAGUGAAAAUCGCACUAUAAAAAAUAUAAAUAAGAAUAUGGUUGACAUGAUGCAGGAUGAAUCAAAUUACGAAAACGAGGAUAAAUAUUCUUGCAUUCAAUCAUCACAAACCCAAUUAAUGCAAUAAAAAAAAUAAUAAAUAUUUUAUUCAUUAUUUAGAAGGUUCAAAAAAAAUUUUUGAUCACUGAAAAAAUUUGUGUAAAAUAAAUUUCCGUUGGAACUUAUCGAAAAAUAAUAAUACAGCUUUUGAUUGAAUUAAAUAUAUAA